CCUGACUGCUAUCGGAUUGAUACUAAGCCAUGCGAGUCUUUGCAGUAAUGCAAGGCAUACGGCUCAGUAACACGUAGUCAACUUACCCUAUGGACGAGGAUAAUCUCGGGAAACUGAGCAUAAUACUCGAUAGAUCAUAAUGCCUGGAAUGGUUUAUGGUUAAAAUGAUUCGUCGCCAUAGGAUGGGACUGCGGCCUAUCAGCUUGUUGGUGAGGUAAUGGCCCACCAAGGCGAUUACAGGUACGGGCUCUGAGAGGAGAAGCCCGGAGAUGGGUACUGAGACAAGGACCCAGGCCCUAUGGGGCGCAGCAGGCGAGAAAACUUUGCAAUGUGCGAAAGCACGACAAGGUUAAUCCGAGUGAUUUCUGCUAAAGAAAUCUUUUGCAAGUCAUAAAACCACUAGUGAAUAAGGGGUGGGCAAGUUCUGGUGUCAGCCGCCGCGGUAAAACCAGCACCUCAAGUGGUCAGGAGGAUUAUUGGGCCUAAAGCAUCCGUAGCCGGCUCUGUAAGUUUUCGGUUAAAUCCAUGUGCUCAACGCAUGGGCUGUCGAAAAUACUGCAUAGCUAGGGAGUGGGAGAGGUAGACGGUACUCGGUAGGAAGGGGUAAAAUCCUUUGAUCUAUCGAUGACCACCUGUGGCGAAGGCGGUCUACCAGAACACGUUCGACGGUGAGGGAUGAAAGCUGGGGGAGCAAACCGGAUUAGAUACCCGGGUAGUCCCAGCUGUAAACGAUGCAGACUCGAUGAUGCAUUGGCAUAUAGCCAGUGCAGUGUCGCAGGGAAGCCGUUAAGUCUGCCGCCUGGGAAGUACGUACGCAAGUAUGAAACUUAAAGGAAUUGGCGGGGGAGCACCACAAGGGGUGAAGCCUGCGGUUC
rnacentral:rRNA from 1 species